rnacentral:lncRNA from 1 species
UCAGUAACAAGCUCCUUAUGGUUUCCCUGCUCAGAAUUGGAAGUAAAAAUGUCAAAAAGUUGAGGAUCACUGAUAUUCCCCUGCCUGUGACUCCCAUGAUUGCUCUGUUUAUCAUUGCCAACAGUCAUCCCAGAAAAGAGAUCAUCAGCAUGGUCCUUGUUCUCACUUGUGUGAAAUGAAACAUCAGCAAAUGGAUCAUCCUCAUUUUUUAUUUCUUGACUAGCUCCAAUAGAGCUGCUGAAAUCUCCA